rnacentral:lncRNA from 1 species
GAAGGGCCGAGGCGGCGUCCGUAAAUCGCGGGAUCGGAUUCCGAGUAUCGUAACAAGAAAUCGAAGACCAUUAAUUUUCGGAUCGCGGAUCAGGGGUCGUUCGGUGGUCGCGCGUGAAUUGGGUCGAGCCGAGCGGCGUACGUCGCGGGAGGCCGAUUGCGAGUGACGACGAGCAAUCAGAACGCUAUAAAAGGUGGGUGGUGUCCAUCCCGAAGCAGUUGAGCUG